rnacentral:rRNA from 1 species
GACGAACGCUGGCGGCGUGCCUAAUACAUGCAAGUAGGACGAGUUGCGAACGGGUGAGUAACGCGUAGGUAACUGCCUAUUAGAGGGGGAUAACUAUUGGAAACGAUAGCUAAUACCGCAUACUAGUAGAAGGACCUGCGUUGUAUUAGCUAGUAGGUAGGGUAAUGGCCUACCUAGGCGACGAUACAUAGCCGACCUGGGAGGGGGGUCGGCCCCAACUGGACUGAGGCACGGCCCAGAAUCCUACCGGGGGCAGCAGUGGGGAAUAUUGCACAAUGGGCGCAAGCCUGAUGCAGCCAUGCCGCGUGUAUGAAGAAGGCCUUCGGGUUGUAAAGUACUUUCAGCGGGGAGGCGUUACCCGCAGAAGAAGCACCGGCUAACUCCGUGCCAGCAGCCGCGGUAAUAC